rnacentral:lncRNA from 1 species
UCAACUCAACACAGCUGGAGUUAUCACAGAGAAAGGAGCUUCAGUUGGGGAAAUGCCUCCAUGAGACCCCGCUGUAAGGCAUUAUCUCAAUUAGUGAUCAAGGGGGAGGUCUCCUUGUGGGUGGUGCCAUCUCUGGGCUGGUAGUCUUGGUUUUAUAAGAGAGCAGGCUGAGCAAGCCAGGGGAAGCAAGCCAGUAAAGAACAUCCUUUCAUGGCCUCUGCAUCAGCUCCUGCCUUCUGACCUCCUUGAGUUCCGGUCCUGACUUCCUUUGAUGAUGAACGACAGUAUGGAAUUAUAAGCCGAAUAAACCCUUUCCUCCCCAACUUGCUUCUUUGUCAUGAUGUUUGUGCAGGAAUGGAAACCCUGACUAAGACACCGUCCAUUCCCAUCAGUUGUUUUAACUCACACUCUACACACCAGAGGGCAUUUGCCAUGAGUGGUUUGUUUCUCAGACAUGAUGGUUUUCGGUAAUAUACUUUCUCUUACAUUUUGUUUUGCUUUAUAUCUGUUAACACAUUUAAAUUGUUGAGCAAUGCAUGUUAGAUUAAUUGAACUGUUAAGUGGAUGUCAGAGGGGCUGGAGAGAUGUCUCAGAAGAGCACUGGCUGCUCUUCCAGAAGAUGGGGCUUUGGGUCCAUUCACCCAAGUGGCAGCUCACCAUUUUCUCUAGUUCCAUUGCUCUCUUGCUUCUGCAGGUACUGCACACACAUUGUGUCUAGACUAAGCACCAGACACAUGAAAAUGAAGAAAAAAUAUUUAAGUGUGUGUGGUAAGAGCACAGUGAGUGUGUGUGUGUGUGUGUGUGUGUAGGAGGAUAGUGAGUGUGCGCAGAAUAGCUCUACAUGAGGGUGGAAACUUUUGUUAACUAUGAUCUCCAGCACUUAUAAGAGCAUCUGCUAGGUGUAGACAGUAAAUAUUUGCCAACAAAUAAGCAUUAAAUAAUGAUUUCACCCAUUUGGUUAAUAUUAUCUGAUAAAGUAUUGAUGUUUUAUUGGUACUUUCCCAUGUGACUUUCAAUGGUUUUGUAGCCUUUAGUUUACCUUAAAUCUAACAAAAGGUCCCUGUGUUUUGUAGUUAUGUUACUCACAACAAAACCAGACUAAGUAAUGCAUCCAUUUACUUACUAUAUUCUCUUGCCAUGCUUUCCCCUCUCUUUAAGUCAAAGCCAUCUGUGAUGGUUUGUAUAUGCUCUGCCCAGGGAGUGGCACUAUUAGGAGAUGUGGCAUUGUUGGAGUGGGUGUGUCACUGUGGGUGUGGGUUUUAAGACCCUCAUCCUAGCUGUCUGGAAGCCAAUAUUCUGCUAGCAGCCUUCAGAUGAAGAUGUAGAACUCUCAGCUCCUCCUGCACCAUGUCUGCCUGGAUGCUGCUAUGCUCCUACCUUGAUGAUAAUGGUCUGAAUCUCUGAACCUGUAAGCCAGCCCUAAUUCAAUGUUGUCCACAUAAGAGUCAUGGUGUCUAUUCAUAGCAGUAAAACCCUUGAGACACCAUCUCCAAGGAAGAUUUAUCAUCACCAAGAUUGCUCACUAAUUACAACAUUCCAAAGGAAAAGAUUCAAAAAGUAUUUUGAGUAACUGGAAAUAUUUUGGGAAAUAAGCACUUUCUAAGCCACAAAGCAUUGCCUUGUACAUUUGUUAAAGUCAAUAAGCAUUCUGAGGAGUUGACAUCUGUCAGGUUAUGUGCACAUAUAAACAUAUAAGCACACUCCAUUUUCCACAAGGAACUUGUCUACCUCUGGAAGUUUAUCCAUGCAUGGUCUGUGGGUUCUUAGACUCAAGGAAAUACACCUCUCAAGGAGUUCUUACCAAAUGCUAAAUGUUUGACCUCAACAACUAGACUCACCCUCCACCAUGAGAAAAUGCCUUACAUU